GAACCCGUAGCUCAAUGAAAGAGCGUUCGACUCAAAUACCAAAGGUCGCGGGUUUGAAUCCCAGGUUUG
rfam:Schistocephalus solidus strain NST_G2 genome assembly, scaffold: SSLN_contig0001588